ensembl:ncRNA C02D4.8 ncRNA
UCCGCUAAACGUGUGUGCACUUAUAGGGUAGAUAUAGAGCUCAAAUUGGGGUGGAUAAAGAUAGGAAAGAGAGUAAUGCAUACUAAACGCUUUUUGUUGCCUUUUCAUCACUCGAUUGUUACUUAU